rnacentral:rRNA from 1 species
UACAGAGGUCCCAAGCGUUGUUCGGAUUCACUGGGCGUAAAGGGUGCGUAGGUGGUGAGGUAAGUUUGAUGUGAAAUCUCCGGGCUCAACCCGGAAAUGGCAUUGAAUACUAUCUUGCUAGAGGAGUGGAGGGGGGACUGGAAUACUUGGUGUAGCAGUGAAAUGCGUAGAUAUCAAGUGGAACACCAGUGGCGAAGGCGAGUCCCUGGGACACUUCCUGACACUGAGGCACGAAAGCUAGGGGAGCAAACAGG